rnacentral:rRNA from 1 species
GCAGUCGAGGGGCAGCGGGGGUGUAGCAAUACACCUGCCGGCGACCGGCAAACGGGUGCGGAACACGUACGCAAUCUACCCAUAACUGGGGCAUAGCCCUCCGAAAGGAGGAUUAAUACCUCGUAACCUUUGGGGGUGGCAUCACCUCUUUAGUAUAGCUCCGGCGGUUAUGGAUGAGCGUGCGGCUGAUUAGGUAGUUGGCGGGGUAACGGCCCACCAAGCCUGCGAUCAGUAACUGGUGUGAGAGCACGACCAGUCACACGGGCACUGAGACACGGGCCCGACUCCUACGGGAGGCAGCAGUAAGGAAUAUUGGUCAAUGGACGCAAGUCUGAACCAGCCAUGCCGCGUGAAGGAUGAAGGUCCUCUGGAUUGUAAACUUCUUUUAUAGGGGAAGAAAUCACGCCAUUCCUGGUGUGUUGACGGUACCCUAGGAAUAAGCACCGGCUAACUCCGUGCCAGCAGCCGCGGUAAUACGGAGGGUGCAAGCGUUAUCCGGAUUCACUGGGUUUAAAGGGUGCGUAGGAGGGCAGGUAAGUCAGUGGUGAAAUCUCCGGGCUCAACUCGGAAACUGCCGUUGAUACUAUCUGUCUUGAAUCCCGUGGAGAUGAGCGGAAUAUGUCAUGUAGCGGUGAAAUGCUUAGAUAUGACAUAGAACACCAAUUGCGAAGGCAGCUCGUUACACGAAGAUUGACUCUGAGGCACGAAAGCGUGGGGAUCAAACAGGAUUAGAUACCCUGGUAGUCCACGCCCUAAACUAUGGAUACUCGACAUACGCGAUACACUGUGUGUGUCUGAGCGAAAGCAUUAAGUAUCCCACCU